GGUUGGUCAAAUAUGAAAUAUGCUGAUCCAAAUCAUAUUAAUCAUUACAUCAGAUGUAUAUGACUAAUUAGAAGAGAUCUGAACCCAAAUCUCCUCACUAAAUAUUAAGUCUAUUGGUCUUCCACCGUUGUAGGGAUGCGGGUGCCUUUUUUCAGUGUUGAUCGUUCUCGAUUGGUUACAGUGGUUUGAUUGCAUCGAGAAGGUAUA
rnacentral:lncRNA from 1 species